rnacentral:rRNA from 1 species
AUCCUGGCUCAGAUUGAACGCUGGCGGCAGGCCUAAACNCAUGCAAGUCGAGCGGUAGAGAGGUGCUUGCAUCUCUUGAGAGCGGCGGACGGGUGAGUAAUGCCUAGGAAUCUGCCUAGUGGUGGGGGAUAACGUUCGGAAACGGACGCUAAUACCGCAUACGUCCUACGGGAGAAAGCGGGGGGAUCUUCGGACCUCGCGCCAUUAGAUGAGCCUAGGUCGGAUUAGCUAGUAGGUGAGGUAAUGGCUCACCUAGGCGACGAUCCGUAACUGGUCUGAGAGGAUGAUCAGUCACACUGGAACUGAGACACGGUCCAGACUCCUACGGGAGGCAGCAGUGGGGAAUAUUGGACAAUGGGCGAAAGCCUGAUCCAGCCAUGCCGCGUGUGUGAAGAAGGUCUUCGGAUUGUAAAGCACUUUAAGUUGGGAGGAAGGGUAGUAACCUAAUACGUUGCUACUUUGACGGUACCUGAAGAAUAAGCACCGGCUAACUACGUG